GCUGGGCAUGGUGGCCCAUGUCUGUGAUCUCAGGGACUUAGGAGGCUGAGGGAGGAGGAUCACAAGUUCAAGGCCAGCUGGGGCAACUUAGUGGGACCCUGUUUCAA
rnacentral:sRNA from 1 species